UCCAUGGCAUCAUUAUCAGAAAAUAGCACUAUCUCCCUAAAUGCCUGCCUAGAGGCAAUAAUGGGCUGGAUGAGGAAUAAUAAAUUGAAGCUGAAUGCAAGCAAGAUGGAGGUGCUCAUUGUGGAGGAUUGUAAUCUGGAGAAUGGGAUAUAAUCUUCUGUUCUGGAUGUGGUUACAUUCACCGAGAAAGUACAGCUUCAGUUGACAAGGAAGAGAAGAGAAAAUAAGCUGCAAACAAGUUUGGAUCAAAGAGAAGAGAAAGAAAACCCUUACUAAGUCAGAAUGCCCUAUAGCUGUCAUGCAGAAGACGCCAUACAAAAGAGCAUGGUAUUUGCUUCACUUAGACAGGACAGACACAGCCCUGCAUUUUCAUCUCAUAAACCAGAAGUGUCCCCAAGAACAUCCAGAGGCCUCUAGCAGAUUAUCAAGACUAGAAUUUCAGCUUUGCAAGGGCAUGCAUGGUGAUGUAUAGGAACUAUUACUUAUUAACCAAGAGCAAGGACAAUUCAACCAUAGACCAACACUCUGCACAUCCUUGAUACAUGAUCUCUUCUCCAUCACUUUCUAUGAAACAAGUUGAAAGGCAACUUCUCUGGGCCUUAACAAGCGCUUAGCGUUAAGCUGAGAUUAAAUCAAUAAUGCAGAUCAACUGACAUGGCUGUUAGGUACCUAGAUCUUGGUGGGGUUAGGCUUAGUCAUGAAGCCAUUUGUGGAAUGUCUAAAAGGCAGAGAUGGUAAAUUCAGUUUUGACUGAACAAAAUGGAAGUGUCCCAGUGCAAAUGUAGAGAAAAAUAAUAAAGGUUACUACUGAAGCAGUAGUGAGUUUUCACAAGCUUUCUAAUUAGGGAUAUGCUA